rnacentral:rRNA from 1 species
AUUGAACGCUGGCGGCAGGCUUAACACAUGCAAGUCGAGCGGAGAUGAGGUGCUUGCACCUUAUCUUAGCGGCGGACGGGUGAGUAAUGCUUAGGAAUCUGCCUAUUAGUGGGGGACAACAUUCCGAAAGGAAUGCUAAUACCGCAUACGCCCUACGAGGGAAAGCAGGGGACCUUCGGACCUUGCGCUAAUAGAUGAGCCUAAGUCGGAUUAGCUAGUUGGUGGGGUAAAGGCCUACCAAGGCGACGAUCUGUAGCGGGUCUGGGAGGAUGAUCCGCCACACUGGGACUGAGACACGGCCCAGACUCCUACGGGAGGCAGCAGUGGGGAAUAUUGGACAAUGGGCGGAAGCCUGAUCCAGCCAUGCCGCGUGUGUGAAGAAGGCCUUUUGGUUGUAAAGCACUUUAAGCGAGGAGGAGGCUACCUGGAUUAAUACUCUAGGAUAGUGGACGUUACUCGCAGAAUAAGCACCGGCUAACUCUGUGCCAGCCGCCGCCGUAACAC